GUGUCUGGUGGGUAGUUUGACUGGGGCGGUCUCCUCCUAAAGAGUAACGGAGGAGCACGAAGGUUGGCUAAUCCUGGUCGGACAUCAGGAGGUUAGUGCAAUGGCAUAAGCCAGCUUGACUGCGAGCGUGACGGCGCGAGCAGGUGCGAAAGCAGGUCAUAGUGAUCCGGUGGUUCUGAAUGGAAGGGCCAUCGCUCAACGGAUAAAAGGUACUCCGGGGAUAACAGGCUGAUACCGCCCAAGAGUUCAUAUCGACGGCGGUGUUUGGCACCUCGAUGUCGGCUCAUCACAUCCUGGGGCUGAAGUAGGUCCCAAGGGUAUGGCUGUUCGCCAUUUAAAGUGGUACGCGAGCUGGGUUUAGAACGUCGUGAGACAGUUCGGUCCCUAUCUGCCGUGGGCGCUGGAGAACUGAGGGGGGCUGCUCCUAGUACGAGAGGACCGGAGUGGACGCAUCACUGGUGUUCGGGUUGUCAUGCCAAUGGCACUGCCCGGUAGCUAAAUGCGGAAGAGAUAAGUGCUGAAAGCAUCUAAGCACGAAACUUGCCCCGAGAUGAGUUCUCCCUGAGACUUUAGGUCUCCUGAAGGAACGUUGAAGACGACGACGUUGAUAGGCCGGGUGUGUAAGCGCAGCGAUGCGUUGAGCUAACCGGUACUAAUGAACCGUGAGGCUUAACCUU
rnacentral:rRNA from 1 species